AUCGCUUCUCUGCCUUUUUGGCUAAGAUCAGCGUAGUAUCUGUUCUUAUCAGUUUAAUAUUCGAUACGUCCCUCAUUCCGUGACCCAUAUAUUAAAUUGAUUUUUGAAACAGGAGAUGGAAUAGGGGCUUGCUCCGGUCUAAUUCCACUGUACUCACCUGAAAAGGCAGUACUCCAGGAGCCGUGCACUUUCU